rnacentral:rRNA from 1 species
AAUACGUUCCCGGGCCUUGUACACACCGCCCGUCAAGUCACGAAAGUCGGUAACACCCGAAGCCGGUGGCCUAACCCUUUUGGGAAGGAGCCGUCUAAGGUGGGAUUGGCGAUUGGGACU